CCUACGGGAGGCAGCAGUGGGGAAUAUUGCACAAUGGGGGAUACCCUGAUGCAGCGACGCCGCGUGAGUGAAGAAGCGUUUCGGCGCGGAAAGCUCUGUCAGCGGGGAAGAAACACGGUUCGCGAGAGCUGCGGACGGUACCCGACCAAGAAGCCCCGGCUAACUACGUGCCAGCAGACGCGGUAAUACGUAGGGGGCAAGCGUUAUCCGGAUCCACUGGGUGUAAAGGGAGCGUAGACGGCGAGACAAGUCUGUAGUGAAAGGCCGGGGCCCAACCCCGGGACUGCUCUGGAUACUGUCUUGCUGGAGUACAGGAGAGGUAAGUGGAAUUCCUAGUGUAGCGGUGAAAUGCGUAGAUAUUAGGAGGAACACCAGUGGCGAAGGCGGCUUACUGGACUGUAACUGACGUUGAGGCUCGAAAGCGUGGGGAGCAAACAGGAUUAGAUACCCCGGUAGUC
rnacentral:rRNA from 1 species